rnacentral:SRP_RNA from 2 species
GGAGGUUGGCAGUGGACGUCGCCACUCGCCAACCUGGUCAGGUCCGGAAGGAAGCAGCCACAACGGGUUCGGCACGGGUCGCGUGUCCAGCCUCCCAC